rnacentral:rRNA from 1 species
UGUCUAUUAAUUGUAGACCAGUAUGAAAGGCAAAAUGAGGGUCUGACUGUCUCUUAUAAUAAAUCAAUUAAACUGAUCUCCUAGUAAAAAAGCUAGAAUCCUUACAUAAGACCAGAAGACCCUGUGAAGCUUAAACUAAACUAUUAAAUCUUAUAAUAAUUACUUUCGGUUGGGGCGACCUUGGAAAAAAAAAGAACUUCCAAACAAUAUGACCAUAACUCAUACUCCCAGGCCUACAAGCCUCUAAACGACCCAGUAUAGCUGAUAACUGAACCAAGUUACUCCAGGGAUAACAGCGCCAUCUUCUUCAAGAGUCCAUAUCAAAAGAAGGUCUACGACCUCGAUGUUGGAUCAGGACAUCCUAAUGGUGCA